CGUUCAGCCCAUGCCGCUCAAUACUAGGAAGGUUUUUCAGUAACGAUUUUCCCUAAGUGUGCCUUCCGGCCUAUAACAUUGUGGGCUAGAGGGGUAUCAAGUCUCUUGCCUCUUGUAGGUGGGUGCUUCCUAUCAUGUAAACUGAGCUCACCUCGAAGCCACUGACAACACGCGGAUCGUCCAUUUAACGGAAGUUAGUUCAAUUUCUGUCAACGAAACGCGUCAGGUAUACGAACCCCUUCAACAGUGUCCUUCCCAUUUGCAAACGAUGCGGUCGUUAAGAGUCAUCUCAAUGGAAGUUGACAUUAUCCAAAAGACACUUGGUGGCUAUGGCUGCUACCAGAUGUUGGUGUAUACCCUUCUUGGUCUCAUGUACAUGAGAGGUGCCUGGCACACGUUUAACAUCAUAUUUCUGGGUGCAGUCCCGGCCCAUACCUGCACAGUGGCAAACAGAACAGUUGACAACAGUCUUCAGAUUGUAGCAGGAGAGUGUGAUGUCGCGCUUAUGGUCUCGAAUGCUACACACACUGUCAAUGAGACGGACGCUUGCAGUGCCUGGCAGUAUGAUAGCAUGCACAGAGCCUCCAGCAUUGUAUCAGAGUGGGACCUGGUGUGUAACAAGAAUUACCUGGUAGAACUGUCUACAACCAUCUACAUGAUUGGCUCAGCAUCAGGAGCAGUGAUCCUCACACCGUUUUCUGACAGAUUUGGCAGAAAGAGACUCCUCUUAUCAUGUCUCUGCAUACAAGCUGUCAUCGGCUUUGCUGUUGCAUUUGUACAGAACUAUGUUGCAUUUACACUGUUGCGAGCCGUGGUGGGAUUUCUCAAUAUGGGUAUCGCACUGAGUGCGUACGUGAUGAUGACGGAGGUGUUCCCCGCCUCACACCGCACACUUCCGUCCAUCGCCAUGCAGAUCUUCUGGGCUGUCGGGGUGAUGCUACUGUCUUUGUUUGCGUACCUGGUCCGAGACUGGCGCCACCUGGAGAUGCUGGUGUCUCUGCCUAAUGUGCUGGCAAUUGUUUAUAUAUGGUGUCUCCCAGAAUCUCUGCCAUGGCUACUUUCUCAGAAGAAAAUAAGAAAAGCCAAAGCUGUGAUAAGAUGGGCAGUCAAGUUAAACAAACUUCCAUCCAACAUGGUGGAGUUGCUCGAACCCUCUAGUUCACCGACAGGUCUUAGUGGCCAGGCAGAGGCUGGUGGGCAGGGCAAGGCGUCCGACCCUUUGAAUACCCAGGAGAAUAGUGUGACCAGUGCUAGCAACAGUAAAACUCUGCCUGGGAUUCUAGAUCUCGUGAAGACACCCCGUAUCAGACUCUAUGCAAUACUAAUGUGGUAUUUAUUUUUUGUGAACAGUUUAAGUUACUUUGGGUUGUCCUUCAGUACUCCUAAUCUCCAUGGCAACCCAUACCUCAACCUGUGUCUGAUGGGAGCUGUUGAGAUCCCAGCCUAUGCUAUAUGUAUGCUGGUCAUUAAUUGGCUGGGGCGUCGAGUCCCAGUGUGUGUGUUCCUGUUGAUCUGUGGGGUAACCAACAUAGCGGCCAUCUUUGUUCCAGCAGACUGUGAAGAGUUAUCCUACCUGAAGCUGACUAUAUUGAUGAUAGGGAAGUUUGGCAUCACUGGCUCCUAUUCCACGAUCUACCUGCUUGCAGCCGAGAUAUUCCCCACCUCUGUCAGGAAUCAGGCUGUUGGGAUAGCAUCUUUCUUUGAGAAUAUAGGCAGCAUUUCUGCUCCUCUCAUAGUGUAUGUGGCAAAGAAGAUCCCUGAGCUUCCCUUUGUAGUGUUUGGUGUGCUGACAAUCAUCGGCGCCGGUGUCGUGUUGUUGCUUCCAGAGACCCGGCACCGCCCCCUUCCUGAAACUAUUGAGGAGAUCGAGGGCUGGCACAGGAAGCCAACAUCUUGACUGACACUCACCCACCAUAUACCCCUAUACUUUACAGCCUACUGGGUGGCAGGAGACUAACAUCUUGACUGACACUCACCCACCAUAUCCACCUAUACUUUACAGCCUCAAGGGCUGGCACAGGAAGCCAACAUCUUGACUGACACUCACCCACCAUAUCCCCCUAUACUUUACAGCCUACUGGGUGGCAGUAGACUAACAUCUCUUUUUAGAAUAUUUAUUUUGAUAUUGUUCAUGCUUAACAUGUCUAAUUAUAUCACUCCCUUUAUAUUUGUACGCAUUUACAACUGCUAUGCUAUUUAGAAACAAUGGAAUUUAUACACAUAUGUCUGAAUACAAUAUUCAUAUCACUUAGUAGAAAUAAAAGAACAAUUUAAAUCAUGCUACACUGACAAACAGAAGCUAUGGGAUUUGGGAAAGUUGCAGUGAUGUUGUUUGUCUGUUUGUAUCAGAUGUAUGUUAUGAUCUGAAACCUCCUAUUGACGAAUAACACUCAAAUAUUUGGUCAUUAAAUAGCCAGAAACCUUUUUUUCUUAAAUAGGAUUUUUUUUAAAUAUUGUAACUAUUCUACAGUGAGAUAAAUCAUUGUGAUUGUUUCUUUCUUAAUUCUUCAAAACAAUGUUUAUAAAUAACUGACAACGUGGCAUUCCUAAAUGAAGUGGUUGAGGAUAGCAGUUUGUGAGAAAAGCACUUGUGCACUAGGAAAUCUUCAUUCCAUCAGUGCAAAGAAGUUUUAGUUGUGAAAAUGAGUGUUGUACCAAUUACUUGAUUUCAUGGAUGACUAGUUGUUUUUUGUUCCAAGCAAGGAAUCAAUAAUGAAUUGGGGUUUUUUUUAUAAUUUUCAAAUUGUAUCAAGUAAUUAGCAUCCCAGGACUGCUGUAAAGUUUUGUUGGAAUUUGACCGCCACUGUGACUUUUCAUGUGCAGUAUUUCUGUCAGGUGGUCUUGAGGAUCACAAAAAGGUUUGUGGUUACACUUAAUCCAAAAUUAUUUAUACAUUUGACACUAACAUGACUAAACUUGGUAUAUUCCUUCUCUUGGAUGGGGAACUUUGUCAGUGGUUUCUUUCUUAACAUUUCACGUGUCAAUUGCAUUUAUGUCAAAGGUCAAGGUCACCUCUGAGGUAAUUGUGCAGUGUAUUUGUAUCAUACUUUCUCUUAUGAUGCAACAAUGACUGACAUUAGACAUGGUAGAGGAUAUCCUACAAUAAACAUUCUUUUGUUACAUGCCCUGAGAAGAUCAAAGGUCUGUUUCACAAAAUAUCAUAUCUCAGCAAUAUGUUUAUGCUUACACUUUACCUCGAAAUAUUAAUGCAUUUACCAUUAAACUUGAGGAUGGGGCCGUGCUUUGAAAAGACUUUUGUCAAAAUUAGUCAAAGGUUAAGGGCAACAUUCUGUUUUGUAAACCAAGGUUAUAUCAGUGUCAGGUGUCGAGACCUAGUAACCUCUGUAACCAUGGUUAUAUCAGUGUCAGGUGUGGAGACCUAGUAACCUCUGUAACCAAGGUUAUAUCAGUGUCAGGUGUGGAGACCCUGUAACCUCUGUAACCAUGGUUAUAUCAGUGUCAGGUGUGGAGACCUAGUAACCUCUGUAACCAAGGUUAUAUCAGUGUCAGGUGUGGAGACCCUGUAACCUCUGUAACCAUGGUUAUAUCAGUGUCAGGUGUGGAGACCUAGUAACCUCUGUAACCAAGGUUAUAUCAGUGUCAGGGGCGGUCGGGUAGCCUAGUGGUUAAAGCGUUCCCUCGUCACGCCGAAGACCCGGG
rnacentral:misc_RNA from 1 species